UCCCUGGUAGCUCACAUGGUAAAGCGUCUACCUGCAAUGCAGAAGACCUGGGUUCAAUUCCUAGGUUGGGAA
rnacentral:tRNA from 1 species